rnacentral:rRNA from 1 species
GACGAACGCUGGCGGCGUGCUUAACACAUGCAAGUCGAACGAUGAAACCUAGCUUGCUAGGUCGAUUAGUGGCGAACGGGUGAGUAACACGUGACUAACCUGCCCCUUUCUCUGGGAUAACGCUCCGAAAGGAGUGCUAAUACCGGAUACUCACACCGAGGCACAUGCCUUGGUGUGGAAAGUUUUUCGGAAAGGGAUGGAGUCGCGGCCUAUCAGCUUGUUGGUGAGGUAACGGCUCACCAAGGCGACGACGGGUAGCCGGCCUGAGAGGGCGACCGGCCACACUGAGACUGAGACACGGCCCAGACUCCGACGGGAGGCAGCAGUGGGGAAUAAUGCACAAUGGGCGCAAGCCUGGUGCAGCGACGCCGCGUGAGGGAUGAAGGUCUUCGGAUUGUAAACCUCUUUCAGUAGGGACGAAGCGAAAGUGACGGUACCUAAAGAAGAAGCACCGGCUAACUACGUGCCAGCCGCCGCCGUAA